rnacentral:rRNA from 1 species
AUGGCCGGCGCUCCCCCGACGCCCGCCGAGAAGGACGCCCUCGUCUCCUCCUUCCUCGAGAUCGCCGCCGGCCAGACGCCCCACACCGCCACCCAGUUCCUCCAGAUGACGAGCUGGCAUCUCGAGGAGGCGCUGCAGCUCUUCUACAUCGACGGGGAGGCCGCGCUCGCCGGGGCGCAUCCGCCGGCCCAGUCGGCCGCCGAGGCCGCGCUGGCGGCGGCCGCCGCCGCCGCCGAGGUGGAGGAGGGGUUCAGGUUCCAUCCGCCGCCGGCAGCCGCGCUUGAAGAUGGGAUGCUGCAGGGGCUGGGGGACGACGGCGACGUCCGUGCGCCGUUGCCUGUGAGGCGCGAGACUCUCUACGGCGACACCCCGAUGAUUGUGACCCGGCCGAAUGCGACAGUUGCAUUUCGUAACUUUGAAGAGGAGGCAAGACAAUCUGCUUGGGAUUCUGAACAGAAUGCCACAUCCAGUUCUCGUGAUAAUCUGGCUUCUUUAUAUCGCCCACCUUUCGAUUUGAUGUUCAAUGGACCAUUUGACAAGGCAAAGUUAGAGGCCUCUUCUCUAGACAAGUGGCUCUUGAUCAAUUUGCAGUCAACAGAAGAGUUCAGCUCUCACAUGCUUAAUCGAGACACUUGGGCAAAUGAAGCGGUGGCUCAAACAAUCAGGUCAAACUUGAUUUUCUGGCAGGUUUAUCAAGAUACCGGUGAGGGGAGGAAGGUAUGCACCUACUACCAUUUGGUCUCUGUUCCUGCCAUUCUCCUAAUUGACCCCAUCACUGGACAAAAAAUGCGUGGUUGGAGUGGAAUGGUUUACCCGGACAGUUUGCUGGAGGAUCUGAUGCCUUACCUGGAGAAAGGUCCAAAGGAGCACCAUGCUGCUCAACCUCAAAAACGCCCAAGAAAAGUUGACCAGGAAACCUCUAUGGUUAGGCAAGGUAAAACAGCUGUAGAGAGUGAAGAUGAAGAACUAGCACGGGCGGUGGCGGCUUCCUUGGAGGAGAACAAAGGAGCCGGGGGAUCGGAUGCCGCUGAUGAGAAGCCUAACCCCGUGGAAGAGACGGAGCCGAGUUUGAGCGUGAAGAUCGAGUAUCCCCCUCUACCCGAAGAGCCGAAAGUGAGCAGGGACCUUCUCUGCAGGGUCGCCGUCCGGCUGCCCGACGGCCGGAGGAUCCAGAGGAAUUUCCUCCACACAGACCCAAUCAAGCUGCUGUGGUCGUUCUGCUCCUCUCAGGUGGAGGAAGGCGAGAAGCGGGCCUUCCACUUCGGGCAGCCCAUCCCGGGCGCGGCCAUCAACAAGCUGCAGUACGGGAGCGAGCAGACCUUCAAGGAGGCCGGGCUGGCCAACUCCAUGAUCAACCUCUUGUGGGACUAG